GGAUGUGAGGGCGAUCUGGCUGCAACGUCAUUCACCCCAUUGAUCGCCAGGGUUGAUUCGGCUGAUCUGGCUGGCUAGGCACGUGUGUCCCCUUCCUCCCUCACGGCUCCAUGUGCGUCCCUCCCAAAGCUGCGCACUCGGUCGAAGAGGAUGACCAUCCCGAUAGAAGAGGGCCGUUCUUCCGUCGAGGGUAUACGAGUAGCUGCGCUCCCCUGCUAGAACCUCCAAACAAGCUCUCAAGAUGUGUUUGCACUGUAUUUUAAGUUUUCAAGUGGGCCUAAAAUUCAAAAUGUAAUUUGAACUGAAUCAAACUAAAGCCACAAAAUUAGUAUUU
ensembl:misc_RNA 7SK 7SK RNA